AUUGAACGCUGGCGGCAGGCCUAACACAUGCAAGUCGAGCGGAUGAGGGUAGCUUGCUAUCUGAUUCAGCGGCGGACGGGUGAGUAAUGCCUAGGAAUCUGCCUGGUAGUGGGGGACAACGUUUCGAAAGGAACGCUAAUACCGCAUACGUCCUACGGGAGAAAGUGGGGGAUCUUCGGACCUCACGCUAUCAGAUGAGCCUAGGUACGAUUAGCUAGUUGGUGAGGUAAAGGCUCACCAAGGCGACGAUCGUUAACUGGUCUGAGAGGAUGAUCAGUCACACUGGAACUGAGACACGGUCCAGACUCCUACGGGAGGCAGCAGUGGGGAAUAUUGGACAAUGGGCGAAAGCCUGAUCCAGCCAUGCCGCGUGUGUGAAGAAGGUCUUCGGAUUGUAAAGCACUUUAAGUUGGGAGGAAGGGCAGUAAGUUAAUACCUUGCUGUUUUGACGUUACCGACAGAAUAAGCACCGGCUAACUUCGUGCCAGCCGCCGCCGUAAAAC
rnacentral:rRNA from 1 species